AUGUCACAUGUCACAUGAAAGUUUCAUCACUGACCUCAAAACUAAAAUAUAUAUACACACACGAUAUCUAUAUGGGUGUGUAUAUAUAAAUUUCUUAAUGUGCCUCUCCAAACAGUACUAAUAUCUCUCUCUUCUUCUUCUUCUUCUUCUUCUCUCACGAUUAGUAGCUAACCAUAUGGAUCCUUGUGUCCCCGAAACCUCCAUGUUCCGGUGGUCUCGGAGUCGCCGGAAGAUUCAUAUCCGCCGUCGUAAGACACGGGUUGUGCGUCUUGGCGGGAAGAACAAUGUGGUGUCACGUGGUGGAUUCUCGUUGAAGAAGAUGGUGAGGAGGAUGAAGCUGAGAUGGUUGAGACUUCAUUACGUGAGACUCGUGAAGAAGAUCAAGGGGUUUUAUAGUAAUUUGGUAAAAGAGUUCGUAGACGCAGGAGUUGAGCUCGAAGCGAUUCAGACGCAAAUGGCGGUUGAAGCGGCUGCGUUUGCGGUUCCGGGUUUAGGUCUCUCUUUCUCCUCUCUGUCAGCUCAUGACCGAGCACGGUAUUUUCUUGCAUAGUCAUAUAUUAUCACAUUCGUUAAAUAAUUACUCUUUGUAAUAUUUAUUACGUUUGUUGUUGUAUAUCUUACAUCUAUUUUAUUUUGUUGUGAUUUCGUUAUUUUUUGGAAUCAUGAGAAUUUGAGAAGUGAAGCUGGUAAUAGAUAAAUAUAAUAUACAUAUGUUGUUGAUUUGUAUAAACAAAAGUAAAUAAAUAUACUAAGUAAUUCUCCAAUUAAUUUAUCUCUCUCUCUAUUCUACUUAACGUAUUUGCUGUUCAGAGUGGUACAAAUUAAUUCGGUUUCUUACAAAUUUGACACAAAGGUAUUAUAGAUUAAGAUCACAUACCUUUACAAAAUCUUUAAAUUAAUGAAACUAUGAGAUGUUACAACAAAUGUAUAAUAUACACACAAAAUGUAGGCGUAGUCAAGGUCGGAUUUAGACACAAUCUAGUAAAAUAUUGGUCUUGCCUCCUAAAUUUUCUGGAAGUUAUAUACAUAUACAUAAGCUCCACAAUUAUCAAAAAGUAAUUAAAGUUUAUAAUAAUAUUUAUAAUUUUGAAAAUUUCAGAUCUGGCCAUACACUACAGGAAAUGUGGGUAUUAAUAGCAUUAGAUUAUAGCGUUUUUGACAAUUCUGCUAUUGUAUACUAACAUUGGUCUUUUUGAUAGCGUUUUUGAAUUUAAUACGCUAUGUUUGCUAUCGCGAGAAAAUAUUUUUUUUAAGCGCGUUAAUUUACGAAGUACCGACGCUUUACUAUUGCAGAUCUUAAAUUAAGCGCUAUCAUAACACAACAUAUAAUUCAUUUUUCCGCCAGAUUAUUACUGGAAAAACAAGUAUCUCUCUUCUACUUUUUUUCGUUUUCCCUCUCAUUCAAUUUUGUUUUGCAACCCUCCAAAACCCCUAAAACAUAAAAUCUAAAUCAUAUACUCUAACCUUAGAGCAGAGCCCUAAAACUCAAAUAUUUUCUCCAUCUUUCACGACAACCCUAUCUCUCGUACAGAUUCAGUUCUAUCUCUCACGAUGGGAAUUGAAAAACUAAGAUCAAAAGUCACGGGAGUUUGACUGGAAUCGACCUCACGAUUCAUCCCUCUCACUCUCUCGGCCAAAGCUAAGACGUCUGUCCUCCAUAAGACGAUUCAACCCUCCUCUCCUCGACUUCUGCUUUUUAUUUCUGAUAUUUGUUUCCAGAGCAGCCCAAGUGUGAAGCGUUAAUAAGUUAAUCUUUGUGGAGACUUUCCUUCCCAAGAUGGGGAUCACUGUCACUGUGAUUGUUCCUGCUGAUAUCGCUGGUCUUGAAGCUGCUGUGAAUAAGUACCAAGUCAGUCCUCGUAGGAGAUCUCCUGAUGGAUUCCGCUAUUGAGAUUACUUCUGAUAGUAGUAGUAGUAGUGGUAGUGAUGACGAGGUAUCCGAGCCCACUAGAACCAGGAGCAAGACCCUUUGGCUCUAUGGUAGCAGAAGCUUCCCUCAAGGGUUCCUCUGAAGUUCAUACUCAAGCGUCUGUUAGUAAUGCCCCAUCUCAGCCAAGAGACUCUACAAAACUUACAGUGCGUGAGAAUAAUGUUUCUGGUGUGGAUAAUGAGAAGCUCCCUGCUCAACAAGCUCAGAAACGAACCAUUCCACCUUCUUUUAAUCCACCUCCUGCUCCUUCAAGAAGUGCUAACAGUAUAGGUCAUGCCAACAAGGCGGAUAAUACAAUUCCAGCUACUCGCGGUAGUGCACCGAGUUAUUUGCUAAGAGACACUACAACAUUUACAAGGAAUGUCGAGUAUGUUGUAAGCUCUAAUGUCUCUGGUGUGGAUGAUAAGAAGCUUCCUGCUCAACAAGCUAAUACAUCAAAAAGUGCUAACAGUGUUAGUCAUGGAAACGUGGGGGAUUAUAGUAGUCCAGCUGUAGGUAACAAGAAUACUUUUGGUGAUGGUUACUACCGUGGAGCUCAUGCUGAGAGUGAUUGUUCUAAUAAGAAGCACUAAAGGAUAGCUUGAUGGUGGUGAAGAGAAGAGGUUGAUGCUUUUAGUUCAUGUUUUCAUGUAUAGACUUUUAGUUCAUGUUUUCAUGUAUUGACUUUGUGGGUUUUAAAUUUUUAAUGGAAAACUAUAUGAUUGUUCGAUAA